rnacentral:tRNA from 1 species
GAGGGUAUAGCUCAGUGGUAGAGUGUGUGCUUAGCAUGCAUGCAGAAGGUCCUGGGUUUAAUCCCCAGUUCCUCCA